UACGUAGGGAGCGAGCGUUGUCCGGAUUUAUUGGGCGUAAAGAGCGCGUAGGCGGCUCGGUAAGCCGGAUGUGAAACCUCCAAGCUCAACUUGGAGCGGCCAUUCGGAACUGCCGUGGCUAGAGUCUGGUAGGGGAACACGGAAUUCCUGGUGUAGCGGUGAAAUGCUUAGAUAUCAGGAGGAACACCAGUGGCGAAGGCGGUGUUCUGGGCCAGUACUGACGCUGAGGCGCGAAAGCGUGGGAGCGAACAGG
rnacentral:rRNA from 1 species